GACGAACGCUGGCGGCGUGCUUAACACAUGCAAGUCGAACGGAAAGGCCCUGCCUGCAGGGUACUCGAGUGGCGAACGGGUGAGUAACACGUGGGUGAUCUGCCCUGCACUUCGGGAUAAGCCUGGGAAACUGGGUCUAAUACCGGAUAGGAGCCAUUUAUAGUGUGAUGGUUGGAAAGUUUUUUCGGUGUAGGAUGAGCUCGCGGCCUAUCAGCUUGUUGGUGGGGUAAUGGCCUACCAAGGCGGCGACGGGUAGCCGGCCUGAGAGGGUGGACGGCCACAUUGGGACUGAGAUACGGCCCAGACUCCUACGGGAGGCAGCAGUGGGGAAUAUUGCACAAUGGGCGCAAGCCUGAUGCAGCGACGCCGCGUGGGGGAUGACGGCCUUCGGGUUGUAAACUCCUUUCGCUAGGGACGAAGCUUUUUGUGACGGUACCUAGAUAAGAAGCACCGGCUAACUACGUG
rnacentral:rRNA from 1 species